CGCUGAGCAGUGGUGCUACAGGUUUCUCUCUGCUUGGUGCUACUAUCCAGUUUACGCAAAGCAAAUUACCGACUCUGCGCUCGAUAUCCGCAGGAACACUCAGUCGGGGCUGACGUCAACCUCUGACCGCUUCUCCCAUCUAGAAUUUAGACUGUACACCACGUCAAAUUAGCUAGAAGUACCUGGCGUUCGUUAGCUGUUGGAUUCUCGUAACUCGGGAACGGUCAGAUAAGUCAACGUCUGAAGGGUGACGGGAAGUGGUUUGAAAUAUGGAGGAUGGUUUAGCCUUGGGCACGGUGGCUUCGGCGAUAAUUUCGCCAACGGAUCGACCACCGCAGGUUCCACGAUCGGUGGAGACGGGCAGAGCCACGUGGACUUUGUGGACACCGAGGUGGCAGAAAAACGGCUUUCGAGAUCGCCGGUGGGGUCGACACUCGGCGAAGGGAAGCGAGCAAGGACGUGGCCGAGUUCUGCAUCGCGUACCAGCCUCAUUUCCUGGAGUGCCUCGGAAGUUCGCCUCGGCGAACUUCUUCAGGGCAACCGUCCUCGGAGAUGGGAAAGAAGGCGGAGGCCGAGGCUCGGGUUCCGUCGGAGACGAGCUUCUCGUGCAGGGCCGUGACGACUCGGUGAAGAUGAGGACAUCACCCGGCGUCCUGGUGUAGCGGGGAUCGCAGAGCCUAGGAUCGGUUCUUCUGCACGCCUCCCGAUGCCGAUGGGCCACGCGACACGCCGAUGGCGGAGGCGUUGGUCUUUCGUCGAACUUGAACAAGUAAUCCCAGAAACUUUCCUGCGGCGAGGACGAGGCUGCAGGGCAGGGCGGACAGUUGCUUGGCUUCUCCUUGACGCGGACCAACCGCUUGCAGAAGUUAAGGAAAGGCCGACGCACCGGCUUCAAAGGUCGCCCGUAGCCUUCCUCGAGGCAUUUCGAAGAGGAACCGUCCGAUGGCUGCGGCCGCUGCGGCACCGACUCACCGCAUUUCCCGCGGCACUCCACGAGUCGUGCUGAUCGCGGACCUGGAUCCCGACGUAUCUCUGGUCCCGGAUGCUCUAAGCCAGCGGCUGCACGUGUGCUGAAUUUCCGACGGAUUCCAGACCAGCAGGGCUGGUAUUGAUGCACGUUUCCACGGUUUUUAGAGCAUAGAUUCGACUUCCGGUUGUGGCGAUAUUCCUGCGUUAUUCAUACAAGGGACGUAAAGAGUUCGUUGAACUUUUUUUUAAACAAAUUAACGAAUAACCAAAUCCGUUUUUUCCAGGCUGCUAUAACGAUUUUUCAGACAAUUUGUAAGUCAACGUCACCUAAUUAUGACGCUGAUGACGAAAAAUUAACCGUAGAUACAGUGUUUGUGGACCAGAAUUGUAACACAUUUUCACGAACAGUCAAAUUGAAAAAUCUAUGUAGAAUUCUGAAGUUGACCUCGUUGACUAAAGGUACGAAGGCAUUGAUGAAUUUUUGUGAAACUGACACGGAAACGUGUGCCAAGGUAUUUUGCGGACGAAAAUGUUUAUAGUUUAAAAAGUUGUACAAGGAUACAAACACGCGCUACCUAUAAGUGUGAGCGUAAUUUAUACGGGGUUUGAAAAUGCUUUAACCUUAAGACCGGAUGUUGCGGGGCGUUGGAAAGGAACGUGGCAUCGCGAGACCCCUAUAAAGUUUCCCACUGGGUGACGGGGGGCGCAGGAUAGGAUCGAGGAAGAGAAAGACGAAUGUCCGACGGCUGCGGCACGCUUGAGCAAGGGUAUAAGUUUGAAACUUGGUAAAAUCUGAUGAAAAAUUUUGAUUCCACGUCGAACAGGUAACAUUACGCGAUGAUUACCACGCGGCGAUGCCUUGGUGGGCGAUCAUUUUUAAUUGAAACAAAAGGACGAUUUAGCGGUAAAAAUAAUCGAUGCAUCGACUAAUCGAGUCCGAAGAAACAAUCGAACGCAACACGGUUGAAUCGGUAAAAAUGAAUCGAUUAAUGGCAUAAUUAAAGAAAAGUAAUUGAGUUUGAAGAAUAAUCGAUUAUAUUCGAUUAAUCGGGGAUUAAAAUCGAUUAUUACUUGUCACUCUUAGUUAGCAAGUAUUCCACAUUUCGGUACAAUUACACCCUCUGCAUAUAUUUUAUUAUUUCAUUAUAUCUAUCGCAAGGUUGUUAUUUUCUUUAAAAAAAAAAUAAUCAUACCUGAUAUUAU